rnacentral:rRNA from 1 species
UACGAGAGGCCCAAACGUUAUUCGGAAUUACUGGGCUUAAAGAGUUCGUAGGCGGCGCAGAAAGUAGGGUGUGAAAGCCCUCGGCUUAACCGAGGAAUUGCGCUCUAAACUACUGUGCUUGAGGAACCUAGAGGUGAGCAGAACAGAUGGUGGAGCGGUGAAAUGCGUAGAUAUCUGGAGGAACACCGGUGGCGAAGGCGGCAUCCUGGACCGGUAUUGACGCUGAGGCGCGAAAGCCAGGGGAGCAAACGGG